rnacentral:rRNA from 1 species
UACGGGGGAGGCAAGCGUUGUUCGGAAUUACUGGGCGUAAAGGGCUCGUAGGCGGCCAACUAAGUCAGACGUGAAAUCCCUCGGCUUAACCGGGGAACUGCGUCUGAUACUGGAUGGCUUGAGUUUGGGAGAGGGAUGCGGAAUUCCAGGUGUAGCGGUGAAAUGCGUAGAUAUCUGGAGGAACACCGGUGGCGAAGGCGGCAUCCUGGACCAACACUGACACUGAUGAGCGAAAGCCAGGGGAGCAAACGGG